CACCCUCCAAGUUCUCUUCCGGUUCCAGUCAAUGCGGAAUCCUGCUUCAAAAUGUGUUUUUGUUUGAUAUCGUCUCUAGAGACGGGGAAGUUUCUGGAGCCAAGAAGUUAUGUUUUUUUUCAGCUUCGCCACAAUAAGAAGCAUAGGCGUCAAAUAACUCUUUCCCGUCUCUCAACAGAUCCCGGUUCUUGCCAAAAGUCGGGAGAGUUUCAAUUUUGCCAUUAACUCUUCUUAUUAUUCAGACUUGCCAGUUUCCAGCAGGGGUCGCCACAGGACCGCGAAAGCCACCACUUCAUCACACACACUCCAAACCUCUCGUAGGCAAGCAAGACAUCGUCAUCGAGAGAGUCAUCUCUUUCUGAGGAUGAUUGGGCCGGUCCCUCGGGUGUCCAUCUUAGGAGAAUUGCAGUGUCAGAUCAAGGAAGGAAAAUAAUGAAGGUCGAGGGCGGAUGCUACAUCCUGUGUGAUGCAUGGGAGGGGUCAGCUGCAUCCUCACAGUGUUAGUAGCUACAAUAUUAUUUCUGGUUUAAACAUUUUAGAAGUUAUUUAACAUCUUAUGAAACAGUUUUUCAUUCUUGAAAUAUUUCUUAAAGAUAACACAGGAGAAACAAAACACUUUUUUAGUCUUCACUAAUAGUUCAAAUGACACAGCUACCCAACUCAUGCACCAUUUUUUCAAAAUGUGUUUAAAACAGAUAAUUUCUACUUGUUUGAGAAAUACUUUUAGUUUUUCAGAAAAUAACAUUCAGUGAACAAGGAUAAAACAAAAGGGAGGAAUACUUUUAGUUUUCAGAAACUAGGGUCAAGCAAUGAAAGGAUAAAACAAAUGAAAGAAAUACUUUUAGUUUUCAAAAAAAUAAGGUUGAGUGAACAAGGAUAAAACAAAAGAGAGAAAAACUUUUAGAUUUCAGAAACUAGGGUAAAGCGAUGAAAGGAUAAAACAAAAGAAAGAAAUAUUUUUAGUUUUUCAGAAAAUAAGGUUGAGUGAACAGGGAUAAAACAAAAGAAAGAAAUACUUUUAGUUUUCA